UUCCAAUUCCUCAUAGAUCAUGUGAAGUCACGUCUCGCGGGCUGGAAGGGUAAACCGAUGUCGCUGGCAGGUCGACGCGUUCUGGCACGGGCAGUGCUUUCAGCGCUGCCAACAUUAGCCCUAACAGUGCUCAAGGUGCCGAAGAAGAUCCUAAAGGAGAUCGACAAGGCACGGCAUCGCUUCCUAUGGGCCCAAUAUGAAGCAAUGACCGGCGGGAAGUGCAAGGUGGCUUGGAAAGAGGUGUGUUCUCCAGUGGACACUACUAGGAAAAGGCCUGCUAGUGGCGCACCUGUUUUGCCUACUAAUGGCGCACCACAGGUGCGCCACUAG
rnacentral:rRNA from 1 species